UAGGGAAUCUUCGGCAAUGGGGGCAACCCUGACCGAGCAACGCCGCGUGAGUGAAGAUGGUUUUCGGAUCGUAAAGCUCUGUUGUAAGAGAAGAACGUGUGUGAGAGUGGAAAGUUCACACAGUGACGGUAACUUACCAGAAAGGGACGGCUAACUACGUGCCAGCAGCCGCGGUAAUACGUAGGUCCCGAGCGUUGUCCGGAUUUAUUGGGCGUAAAGCGAGCGCAGGCGGUUUAAUAAGUCUGAAGUUAAAGGCAGUGGCUUAACCAUUGUUCGCUUUGGAAACUGUUAAACUUGAGUGCAGAAGGGGAGAGUGGAAUUCCAUGUGUAGCGGUGAAAUGCGUAGAUAUAUGGAGGAACACCGGUGGCGAAAGCGGCUCUCUGGUCUGUAACUGACGCUGAGGCUCGAAAGCGUGGGGAGCAAACAGG
rnacentral:rRNA from 1 species